GAUGCUAUCUUCAAAUCUAUCAAAGAAUGGGGCAUUGAAAAUAAAAUAUUUAGUGUGUCUGUGGAUAAUGCAUACUACAAUAAUAUAUGUUUGAAAGAGCUAAAAGUUUUACUUUCAAGGCACCAAAAAUUAGUGUUGGAUGGAAAGUUGUUUCAUGUCCGCUGUUGUGCCCAUAUACUAAACUUGCUUGUCCAAGAUGGUAAUUUUUAUUAAUAGGUGGAGCAAGCCUAAAGUAAUAUUUUAUUGAUAGGAACAAGCCUAAAGUGGAGCAUGUUCCGACAGAAAUCACAUUAUUCCCUUGAUGUUAAGUAGGAUGUUGAUCCACUUUCUCGUUUGUUGUUCAGAAUUGUUGCUACUUUAGAGUUCGCAUCAUGUUUGAAGUUUGUUUCUUUCUAAAUGAGUAAAGAUUAAGUUGAAGGUUGUGUUAAAUGUAGCUGAAUACAAUUUUGUCUUUAAGGGGAGAGCAAUUGGAGUUUGGAAGUAGAAGAAUAUUAUGCAUUCUGUUCUCAACUAAUUGAGUUUUGUUGGAUUUUUUGUAUCAGAUAAUUUUUUUCGUAUUUAUACAACCUUUAACUUUAUAUAAUUUAUGUCUAUUCUAUGCAUGCUU